rnacentral:rRNA from 1 species
AUUGAACGCUGGCGGCAGGCCUAACACAUGCAAGUCGAGCGGAUGAAGGGAGCUUGCUCCUGGAUUUAGCGGCGGACGGGUGAGUAACGCGUGGGAAUCUGCCCAAUAGUGGGGGAUAAC